rnacentral:lncRNA from 1 species
AUGCCGAAAAGGAAAGCAUCCGAAUCGCUCCGAACCAAAGUCCUCAGAAAUUGCCAUCUUAAAAAAAAAAAAAGACUGGAGAGCCAAGAUAUGUACUCCACUUCAUCUUCCGCACCUUCUUCCGCACCUUCUUUUACUUUUUCCGGGAGAAAGAAUGCCGACUGGAUGGAGGUGCUUAAUGAUUCAAUCACCAAACAGUGGAAAAAAGGGCACAUAAAAAAUCGACAAAUAACCGACAUCACCCAGGAUCUCCUCUGUAUGAUAGAGUUAGAAAAAGUAAGUAUACUCUUCAAAUUAAGGUCCAUCCAGAAAAAAUAAUGUAAAUUACUAACGAAGCAGUGGCUGAAAAUUAGUGGUACUUAGUGCAGUUCGAUUCUGAAAAACCGAGCACAGAUCCAAAACACGGCCACACCAAAUAAGUACCAAUCAUCACUCAUGCGCAAAUGAUUAAGGUGAUAGAUCUGAUAUGUGGCUUAUGUAUUGUUAAGCUUGCUCACCACCAUUUCAAUUCAUAGGGCGCAAAAUCUACAACUGUACGCUUCCCUCUUCCUUGCCAUUCUUCUUGUUUCCUUCUCUGUAUCUGUUUGAAGGUCACUAAUUCAAAUGGCACUGGUGCAUAAUUCAGGUACUUUGAAGGUUUAAAAAAAAGAGAAAAAAAAAUCAUCCCUAACUGUUCAAAUAUUCAUCAGUUAUUAAUCUAUUUCUGUUGACACAUUUUCCAUUUUUCAAUUUAAAAUGAUACGAUUGUCUCAAGCAAAUAUACUUGAGGACCACUCUUCUCAAUUUUAAACUUAAUUUUGCUCUGUAUAUUUUUGGGAUUGGUAAGUAUCUGCCAGUCUGUGCAGUCGACGAUCAAACUUGUUUCCAUGUUAAGGACAGGCGGGAAAACAAUCUGUCGUAGCAGAGUCUGAUGAUAUAGCAGAAGGGCACUGUAAUGCAUUCCGAUUUUUCGAAAAAUAAAUGCUGGCAGUGAAAAAGAGUGCAGACAAUUUAUAUUUUCCAUUUCAAUAUUUAUUCAAUUACAUUAUCAACGGGCAAAGCCCAAUAACAAAUAAAUUAGACAAAAGAAUAACAAAAGCGGGCAGUAGAAGAUUAAAAAAAAUUCAAACAAGUGACAAAAGACUAAGAUAAGGUGACAGAAUUAUGAGAAGAUAAAAUAUAGUAAUAAAGAAAAAAUUAGAACAGACUGAAAUUAUCCUUAAUAGCUCGCUCGAAUUGAGAAAUAGAAACAUUAAAAAUAUCAAUCUGGGAAGGCAGAGAAUUACUCAGACCGGAUAAACGGCAUACAACUGACUUAUGAUAAUAGUUCCUGUGCGAUAUAUUAAGGUGGAAAGUAUUCUAGGAAUUCCUUGUACUUCUACCAGGAACCCUGAUAUUCAAUGAGGACAAAAUUUCAGGACAGUCUAUUCAAUUAUUAAAAAUUUUGAAAAGCAGAAUUAAACCAUUAUACUUCAAUAUCACCACGUUUUUACCUGUUAUGGACUCGGGAUAUUUAGAUCGCAUUUGGCAAAAAGGAGCCAGCGCGAUUACAGUGUCAUAAAAAUGCUGCCUCUUUAUAAUUACCUAAAAAAUCUGCUAACCAGCAAACAGUUUUUGCUUUCCACCAAAACAUUGUUAAUUUCUAAAGGAAAAUAAUUAUGUAAAUUUUAAUGCUUUACAUAAAUCAAGCGUUUUUAAAAGAAAAGAUAAAGUCGCACAAUUUUAAAAACGCUGUAAUUGUGCUGGUUCCUUUUUGCUAGAUGCGAUCCAUUUAUGAAUGGGUUGAUUCAUUUGAGGGUUUGGUUGUGCAUAAAUCUUUGAACAACUCUCGUCUAUGAUAACGAACACCUGCGCGC